rnacentral:misc_RNA from 1 species
CAGCCGCGUAAUUCCAGCUCCAAUAGCGUAUAUUUAAGUUGUUGCAGUUAAAAAGCUCGUAGUUGAAUUUCGGGACCAAUUUGUUGGUCGUGCCUCGGUACGUACUGGUAUUAUUGGUUUCUACCUUCUGAAGAACCUUGAUGUCAUUAAUUUGGUGUCUUGGGGAAUCAGGACUGUUACUUUGAAAAAAUUAGAGUGUUUAAAGCAAGCAUACGCUUGAAUACAUUAGCAUGGAAUAAUGAAAUAGGACGUUUGAUUCUAUUUUGUUGGUUUCUAGGAUCGACGUAAUGAUUAAUAGGGAUAGUUGGGGGCAUUAGUAUUCAAUUGUCAGAGGUGAAAUUCUUGGAUUUAUUGAAGACUAACUACUGCGAAAGCAUUUGCCAAGGAUGUUUUCAUUAAUCAAGAACGAAAGUUAGGGGAUCGAAGACGAUCAGAGACCGUCGUAGUCUUAACCAUAAACUAUGCCGACUAGGGAUCGGAUGAUGUUAAUUUUUUAAUGACUCAUUCGGCGCCUUACG